UACGUAGGGGGCAAGCGUUGUCCGGAAUCAUUGGGCGUAAAGAGCGCGUAGGCGGUCCGGUAAGUCCGCUCUGAAAGUCCGGGGCUCAACUCCGGAUCUGCGGUGGGUACGGGCAGACUAGAGUGAUGUAGGGGAGACUGGAAUUCCUGGUGUAGCGGUGAAAUGCGCAGAUAUCAGGAGGAACACCGAUGGCGAAGGCAGGUCUCUGGGCAUUAACUGACGCUGAGGAGCGAAAGCAUGGGGAGCGAACAGG
rnacentral:rRNA from 1 species